UACAGAGGGGGCAAGCGUUGUUCGGAAUUACUGGGCGUAAAGGGCGCGUAGGCGGCGCGGUAAGUCACUUGUGAAAUCUCUGAGCUUAACUCAGAACGGCCAAGUGAUACUGUAGUGCUAGAGUGUGGAAGGGGCAAUCGGAAUUCUUGGUGUAGCGGUGAAAUGCGUAGAUAUCAAGAGGAACACCUGAGGUGAAGACGGGUUACUGGGCCAACACUGACGCUGAGGCGCGAAAGCCAGGGGAGCAAACGGG
rnacentral:rRNA from 1 species